GGGCGUGUGGCGCAAUGGUUAGCGCGUUUGACUUCUAGCCCACGUAAUUCAUCAAAAGGUUGUAGGUUCGAGUCCUACCUCGCUCA